UCUGUCCAUUAGGUGGGUGCAAAAGUAAUCGCGGUUUUUGUCAUUACUUUUAAUGGCAAAAACUGGAAUUACUUUUGCACUGACCUAAUAUUAAGCCAGAUA
ensembl:miRNA